rnacentral:rRNA from 2 species
AACUGAAACAUCUAAGUACCCCGAGGAAAAGAAAUCAACCGAGAUUCCCCCAGUAGCGGCGAGCGAACGGGGAGGAGCCCAGAGCCUGAAUCAGUGUGUGUGUUAGUGGAAGCGUCUGGAAAGGCGUGCGAUACAGGGUGACAGCCCCGUACACAAAAAUGCACAUAUUGUGAGCUCGAUGAGUAGGGCGGGACACGUGGUAUCCUGUCUGAAUAUGGGGGGACCAUCCUCCAAGGCUAAAUACUCCUGACUGACCGAUAGUGAACCAGUACCGUGAGGGAAAGGCGAAAAGAACCCCGGCGAGGGGAGUGAAAAAGAACCUGAAACCGUGUACGUACAAGCAGUGGGAGCCUCUUUAUGGGGUGACUGCGUACCUUUUGUAUAAUGGGUCAGCGACUUAUAUUCUGUAGCAAGGUUAACCGAAUAGGGGAGCCGAAGGGAAACCGAGUCUUAACUGGGCGUUAAGUUGCAGGGUAUAGACCCGAAACCCGGUGAUCUAGCCAUGGGCAGGUUGAAGGUUGGGUAACACUAACUGGAGGACCGAACCGACUAAUGUUGAAAAAUUAGCGGAUGACUUGUGGCUGGGGGUGAAAGGCCAAUCAAACCGGGAGAUAGCUGGUUCUCCCCGAAAGCUAUUUAGGUAGCGCCUCGUGAAUUCAUCUCCGGGGGUAGAGCACUGUUUCGGCAAGGGGGUCAUCCCGACUUACCAACCCGAUGCAAACUGCGAAUACCGGAGAAUGUUAUCACGGGAGACACACGGCGGGUGCUAACGUCCGUCGUGAAGAGGGAAACAACCCAGACCGCCAGCUAAGGUCCCAAAGUCAUGGUUAAGUGGGAAACGAUGUGGGAAGGCCCAGACAGCCAGGAUGUUGGCUUAGAAGCAGCCAUCAUUUAAAGAAAGCGUAAUAGCUCACUGGUCGAGUCGGCCUGCGCGGAAGAUGUAACGGGGCUAAACCAUGCACCGAAGCUGCGGCAGCGACACUAUGUGUUGUUGGGUAGGGGAGCGUUCUGUAAGCCUGUGAAGGUGGCCUGUGAGGGUUGCUGGAGGUAUCAGAAGUGCGAAUGCUGACAUAAGUAACGAUAAAGCGGGUGAAAAGCCCGCUCGCCGGAAGACCAAGGGUUCCUGUCCAACGUUAAUCGGGGCAGGGUGAGUCGACCCCUAAGGCGAGGCCGAAAGGCGUAGUCGAUGGGAAACAGGUUAAUAUUCCUGUACUUGGUGUUACUGCGAAGGGGGGACGGAGAAGGCUAUGUUGGCCGGGCGACGGUUGUCCCGGUUUAAGCGUGUAGGCUGGUUUUCCAGGCAAAUCCGGAAAACCAAGGCUGAGGCGUGAUGACGAGGCACUACGGUGCUGAAGCGACAAAUGCCCUGCUUCCAGGAAAAGCCUCUAAGCAUCAGGUAACAUCAAAUCGUACCCCAAACCGACACAGGUGGUCAGGUAGAGAAUACCAAGGCGCUUGAGAGAACUCGGGUGAAGGAACUAGGCAAAAUGGUGCCGUAACUUCGGGAGAAGGCACGCUGAUAUGUAGGUGAAGCGACUUGCUCGUGGAGCUGAAAUCAGUCGAAGAUACCAGCUGGCUGCAACUGUUUAUUAAAAACACAGCACUGUGCAAACACGAAAGUGGACGUAUACGGUGUGACGCCUGCCCGGUGCCGGAAGGUUAAUUGAUGGGGUUAGCGGUAACGCGAAGCUCUUGAUCGAAGCCCCGGUAAACGGCGGCCGUAACUAUAACGGUCCUAAGGUAGCGAAAUUCCUUGUCGGGUAAGUUCCGACCUGCACGAAUGGCGUAAUGAUGGCCAGGCUGUCUCCACCCGAGACUCAGUGAAAUUGAACUCGCUGUGAAGAUGCAGUGUACCCGCGGCAAGACGGAAAGACCCCGUGAACCUUUACUAUAGCUUGACACUGAACAUUGAGCCUUGAUGUGUAGGAUAGGUGGGAGGCUUUGAAGUGUGGACGCCAGUCUGCAUGGAGCCGACCUUGAAAUACCACCCUUUAAUGUUUGAUGUUCUAACGUUGGCCCGUAAUCCGGGUUGCGGACAGUGUCUGGUGGGUAGUUUGACUGGGGCGGUCUCCUCCUAAAGAGUAACGGAGGAGCACGAAGGUUGGCUAAUCCUGGUCGGACAUCAGGAGGUUAGUGCAAUGGCAUAAGCCAGCUUGACUGCGAGCGUGACGGCGCGAGCAGGUGCGAAAGCAGGUCAUAGUGAUCCGGUGGUUCUGAAUGGAAGGGCCAUCGCUCAACGGAUAAAAGGUACUCCGGGGAUAACAGGCUGAUACCGCCCAAGAGUUCAUAUCGACGGCGGUGUUUGGCACCUCGAUGUCGGCUCAUCACAUCCUGGGGCUGAAGUAGGUCCCAAGGGUAUGGCUGUUCGCCAUUUAAAGUGGUACGCGAGCUGGGUUUAGAACGUCGUGAGACAGUUCGGUCCCUAUCUGCCGUGGGCGCUGGAGAACUGAGGGGGGCUGCUCCUAGUACGAGAGGACCGGAGUGGACGCAUCACUGGUGUUCGGGUUGUCAUGCCAAUGGCACUGCCCGGUAGCUAAAUGCGGAAGAGAUAAGUGCUGAAAGCAUCUAAGCACGAAACUUGCCCCGAGAUGAGUUCUCCCUGAGACUUAGAGUCUCCUGAAGGAACGUUGAAGACGACGACGUUGAUAGGCCGGGUGUGUAAGCGCAGCGAUGCGUUGAGCUAACCGGUACUAAUGAACCGUGAGGCUUAACCUU